AUUGUUUCUCAGCUUUUUGGCUAAGAUCAAGUGCAGUAGCUGUUCUCAUCAGCUUAAUAUCUGAUAUGUCCUCUUUCUGUGGACAAUUUAUUAAGUGGAUUUUUGGAGCUGGUUGAUGGAAUGGGAGCUUGCUCCAGCCACUCCAUGCAUCAACCCAGUAUUGUAGUACCUCUAGAAUGGUGUACCAAAA
rnacentral:snRNA from 1 species